rnacentral:lncRNA from 1 species
GUAUUGAUAUGUAUGUUUGAAAAUAUGUUGUGUGUUAUGUUGAGAAUGAUAUGAGAGAUGUAAUGUUUGAGUAAUGAAUGCAUGCGUAGUUGUCUUUGUUUAUGAUCUCGUGAUCAAUCAAAUUGUUUUUUAUGGACUCCACUGAAGUACGACCCAUGUUGGACAUUGUUAAAAAGGACCAUCUGCCAGCUCUCGCCAUCCAAUAUGCUCCAACGUCAUGUUGAGAAUUUAUUGGAAGAGUUGGAUCGUCCAAUAAAUUGCCCCAGUAUCUUUGUCAUAGUCUUCACGAUAAUCUUUCUA